rnacentral:rRNA from 1 species
UGGGGAAUUUUGCUCAAUGGGGGAAACCCUGAAGCAGCGAUGCCGCGUGGAGGACGAAGGUCUUCGGAUUGUAAACUCCUUUUGCAGGGGAAAAACGGCCCGGUGAAGAAUCGGGAUUGAUGGUACUCUGCGAAUAAGCCACGGCUAACUUUCGUGCCAGCAGCCGCGGUAAGACGAAGGUGGCGAGCGUUACUCGGAUUUACUAGGCGUAAAGCGUGGGUAGGUGGUUCGGCAAGUCUGUUGUGAAAUUUCCCGGCUUAACCGGGAGGGGCCAAUGGAUACUGCCGGACUUGAAUGUGGGAGGGGUGACUGGAAUUCCUGGUGUAGCGGUGAAAUGCGUAGAGAUCAGGAGGAACACCAAAGGCGAAAGCAGGUCACUGGACCACUAUUGACACUCAUCCACGAAAGCUAGGGGAUCAAACAGG